rnacentral:rRNA from 1 species
GAUGAACGCUGGCGGCGUGCCUAAUACAUGCAAGUCGAGCGAACGGACGCGAAGCUUGCUUCUCUGAUGUUAGCGGCGGACGGGUGAGUAACACGUGGAUAACCUACCUAUAAUACUGGGAUAACUUCGGGAAACCGGAGCUAAUACCGGAUAAUAUUUUGAACCGCAUUGUUCAAAAGUGAAAGACGGUCUUGCUGUCACUUAUAGAUGGAUCCGCGCUGCAUUAGCUAGUUGGUAAGGUAAUGGCUUACCAAGGCAACGAUGCAUAGCCGACCUGUGAGGGUGAUCGCCCACACUGGAACUGAGACGCGGUCCAGACUCCUACGGGAGGCAGCAGUAGGGAAUGUUCCGCAACGGGUGAAAGUCUGACGGAGCAACGCCGAGUGAGUGAUGAAGGUCUUCGGAUCGUAAAACUCUGUUAUUAGGGAAGAACAUAUGUGUAAGUAACUGUGCACAGCUUGACGGUACCUAAUCAGAAAGCCACGGCUAACUACGUG